AUAAAGUUUUAUUUUAGCUUAAAAAUUUAAUAAAAUAUUUAUAUUACAUGUAAAUUUUAGUUUGAAUAAAAUUUCAUUUUAAUAAUGAUUUUUUUAUAUUAUUCGCAGUAUAGAAAAUUAUUUAUUCAAGAAAUUGAGAGAUAGAAAUUAUUUUUAGUAUUAGCAAAGUUUGUGCCAGCAGCUGCGGUUAGACAAUCAAUAUAGUUAAAUUUUAUUAGUAUUAAUUAAUUUGAAUUUUAAAAAAUAAUAAAUUUAAUUUUUUAGGUGAAAUUUAAAUUUAAUUUAAGUUUAGUUAUUUAAAUGAAGUUAGGAAAUUUUUUUAUAGACUAGGAUUAGAUACCCUAUUAUUAAAAGUGUAAAUUUUUUACUGAAUUAGUAUUAGUUAUGUUCUUGAAAAUUAAAAAAUUUGGCGGUAUUUUAGUCUUUUCAGAGGAACCUGUCCUAUAAUUGAUAUUCCACGAUUAAUUUUACUUGUUUUAUUAAUUUAUAUAUCGUCGUAGUUUGAAUGUUUUAAUAGAAUUUUAAUGUUCAUGAUUAUUAAUAAGUAAGGAAAUCAGAUCAAGGUGUAGUUUAUAAAUAAGAAGAGAUGGGUUACAAUAUAAAUAUAUUUGGUUUAUUUAAUGAGAUUUAUUUAAUAAAUUGGAUUUGAAAGUAAUUUUUUAAAUUUUUAAAUUAUGAUUUAGCUCUAAAAUAUGCACAUAUCGCCCGUCGCUCUCAUUUAAGAUGAGAUAAGUCGUAACAUAGUAGGCUUACCGGAAGGUGUGCCUAGAAGUCA
rnacentral:ncRNA from 1 species